AUAUUUUGUCAUCUUUCUCAAAACAAAAAAUGUGAAUGUUUCUUAUUGAUAAUUAAAUAUAAAAAUAGAUAAACAGUGAUGAUGAUCAAGUAACAAUCGGAAUCGCGAGAUGGAACACUAAGGGUUACAUUCCUUGGAUGCUGGCUUUAUCUCCAUAUUCAGCUCAAUUAGUUGGGGCAAGUAAAGUCCUUUGGGCAAAUCUUGCCGCAAUUGUUGAGGAUGAGGUUGAGGCUAAGGGGCACGUUGAGGUGGAUGCCGAGGACGUUGGCCUUGAUGGCGGUGCAGAGGCACAAUGCGGCGUCGAGGUCCACCAGGCCCUCCAGCAGCGGGCAGCAUUGCUCGUGUUGGGGCAGGCCGACCUUGACGAGGCCCAGCACGUUGGCGCACACCUUGAGUUUCAGCGCGUCGAUCGGGCAGCGCCCGUGGCUGUGCGACGGCACGACUGGUGGGGUUGGUACGACUGGGCCGGAGCAAUAGGGUCCGCAGCCAUGCGCGGCGGCAGCGAAGAGGAGGCUGAGGGCAAGGAAGAGCGCAACCUUGGGAGCCAUUGUGGCGAUGGAGUGUUAGUACUACGGUGUGUGAUGAGCAGCAGCGCAGGAAGUGGUGCUGCAGUGCGUUUUCUUUGUGCUUUGGGAUGCUUUUCACAGGGUGCUUGGCGUGGUUUUUAUAGCUGAUGGACGGUGUGGAGGGAGGUGCUUUCGUGCUUGGCGGCAUGCACGGGUAAUCGGCAACGCAUGUGUGCUUUGAGCGUUGCCUGGUUGUCAUGGGAUACAGGACAACAACCAUCGUCAUGUGGAGAUCGAUCGAGAUAGAGGAUCGGAGCAAGUUGACAAAUCAUGUCAAAAUCACUCAACGAGGUAGCAUGUUGUAUAAACAGAUCAAUGCAGAAAUACAUUAGUGCUAGCUGGAAUUGUUCCGAUCAGCUGGCGCUAUUAUUAUUUUAUCGAAACUGAUGCGUGUGCGUGCUCGCGUUAUUUUGUGUUCUGCGAAUACCAAUUAUUUCAGUUGCAUAAAUAUGUUUGUUAGGAAGCCAUGGCGAAGGUAGAAUAAUAUUGAUGGUGCAUUUUUUCUUCUUCCGGGUGCAUAAAAAUGUUUUACAAGAAAUGCAUAUUUUAUGGUGAAAUUUAAACUAAAUUUAUAGAAUUUGCAUUUUUUUAGUGCAUUUGCACCCGCUAACGAUAAGAGCAACUCCAACAGAAGAUGUAAAACAACCUCAAAACAGAUAUUAGAGAAAAAAUAAUUUUCUUUGCUCCAACAGCACCCUCAUUUUUCCCAAAAAAAUCCACGUCCCUCAUCGGUUUGCUCUCAUCCCUCAUAUUUUCGCGUGAUUUGUACCUCCCCAAUUCGUGUGCAUGCUAGCUCCCGUAUUUUUGUAUUCUGUCGCAUGCAUGCAUGCAGAACUAGAUGGAGGAUUUUUUUAUUUUUUAAGAUUUUUAGACUUUAUUUAAGGAAACUGUUGGAGUACACACUAUAAUUCGCUCCUAAGAUUUUUUAAAGUACCCCUAAUAAUCAUUUUUAAGGAAAUUUUUUUAGCAUUCUUUUGGAGUUGCUCAGCUAGCUUCGCCCAUAAAGUAAGCUAGAGAGAUAAAGGAAUAAGCUUGUACAUCUAAACUCCCCCACGCUCGGCUACGCCCGCUAGGCAUCAUACAACCUAGGGAUGGUAAUGGGUCAAGUUUAGAUCAGGUCAUAUAAAAACCUGUUCGCGAUCUCACUCGCGAGGUCUACCUAAACUCGCCCACGUUCACACCCACGGGUGCCAAUCCAAACCCGCACUUGAAUCCAUCGGUUUUGGGUCACCAACGGGUUUUACUCAUUAUACGCUUUUAAACAAUAAUUCAACUAUAAACAAUAAAGUACCAACAAUAAUUGAGUUAUAUCUACAAAUUUUAAGCCUUCUCGCAUCGAGCAUCAACACAAGAUUUCAUGAACCAUCAGUCAAGUUACUUACUCAAAAUAAUUACUAUUGUAUUUUAAUCAUUUUUGCGCAAAACAAAGAAUGAAUCAAUUUUCGAGUCGGCAUCGGGUCACCCACAGAUUGAAAUAGAAACUCGGACGCACACGCGUGAAACUUUGGAUCGAAUGUAGGUUGCACCCAUGGGUCAAAAUCUUCACUCAUACCCGUACCCGUCGGAUUUUAGGUUAAAUUGUCAUUGUCCCUACUUUGACUUCUAACUGCAUAUUUACCCCUCAUUUCUAAGUUUUCAUCGUUGCCCCAUUUUUUCUAAAUGAAGAUUACAUCUGCCCCUGUUCCGUUAGUACUCCUUAUCGAUCUUAAAUCCAUAGCAAAAAGACAAAUCUACCCUUGCAUCAUUGUCCCUAUUUUAUCAUAUCAGUUGCGACAGUGCCUCUACUUUCGUAACCAAAUUUUAAUAUAAUUCUAGAUAACAAUAUCGUUGAAUUAAAAAUUUUCAAUUUGAACAAAUUAAAUAUAUUAUCAUUUUAAUAGAUUUGACAAUUGUUGUAGAAAUUUGAUAAUAAUUUGACAUUAUUCCAAAAAAUCAAAUUUGGACAGCUAUAUAACUCUAGUUUCAACUAAUUGACACGGUGAUACAGUGCAUUUCAGCAUAUAUUUUUCCAGGAUAAUAAUCAAAACAUCAAUUACAAAUAAUAAGAGUAUAAUCCAACAAAAUUAUUAAAAUCUAACAAACACUACCGGAACAGACUGCUUUAUCGAGUGUUUCAGGCACUCGACAAUGCUGAAAAGCACUCGGCGAACUAUUUGUCGAGUGUGCUUCUCGACAAAGAAGUCUCGGCGAACUGUACAUCGGCAACGACUUCUUUGCCGAGUACUUUUUGCCGGGAAAUCGACAAAGUCUUUGCCGAGUGCCACCAAGUACUCGGCAAAGAAAAGUCACCGUCAUGGCACCAAGUGACGGUCAAGGAGACUUUGCCGAGUGUCCGUCCCUAACACUCGGCAAAGGCUCCCUCUUUGUCGAGUGUCUGCUGGAUUAGCGCUCGACAAAGAAGGCCCCUGUGGCUCCCUUUGCCAGUCUCUUUGUCGAGUGCUCCAAGAGGCACUCGGCAAAGGCUCCCUUUUGUCGAGUGUCUGCUGGACUAGCUCUCCGCAAAGAGAGCACCAGUGGACACCUUUGUCAGUCUCGUUGUCGAGUGCAUUAGAAGGCACUCGAUAAAGGUUGCUUCUUUUCUAAGUGGCUCGGCCACAGCACUCGGUAAAGAAGCUUUACUGGUCCCAGGUGUGUCUUCUUUGCCGAGUGCUAUGGUCGUGGCACUUGGCAAAGUGACCAGAAUACCCAUUUUAUUUGUUUUUGUUAUUCCAUCCAAACAAACAGAACAUAUAUCACAUAAUCAUCACAUAUACAUCACAGAAUUCACAGAAUCAUGAAGCCUUGAAGAUCUUAUACAAAGUGUCCCCUGUGCAUGACAUUGUAUCUCUAUUUAUAGUGUUGUAAAAAUUACAAUCAUGCACUCAGUCCUAUGCACACAAACUACAAGAUAUUUUAAGGGUAUAAAAGUUUUUUCCAUCAUUAGACAUGUUGUCCAAGCCUCUAAGAUCUUAUCGCUUCCUCUUACUGAUCCUUCGUUGCGUGUCCAAAACACGGAACUGAAGCUUCUCAGCUUCGUUUUCAUGCUUGCACUGCUCGAGUAUUAUUUCCGAUCGAAGGUGUACAUGGUCAACCCUUCAUUAUACCUGAAAUAGAAUUGGAAAAAAAAUUGACAAAUUAAUGACUUGAGAACCUUCGAUCAAAGAGAACCCCCCAACAGUCGUUGUCGUGUGCUACGCCUGCUCCUCUAGCCUAGACUCUCCUCUCUAACACUCUCUACAUCAUUAUAUGUGCUAUACCCUGGGCGACAGUGGCGGAGCUCCAUAAAAUUGAUGCCCCGGGCCACUCUAUAAAAGAUUAUUUUAAAGAACACUUGCUUUGUAUGCUCACUGCUAGGAAGGGGCGAACGAUGUGGUGCGAAUCAAUGGAGGUCGCAGACCGCUGACCGCAGGGAGGUCGUCGUUGCCGGAUCCGGAUCCGUGCAGUGGAGCAUGGAGGUGGAGGCAUAGACUGGAGGCCGUAGUGCGGAGGCGCCGCCACUGGCACCUAGGUCUAGGAGGGAAGAGACAUGGACUGGAGGUAGAGGCAGGGCAUGAGGGAUUGGGCCAAUGGGGGAGUCGGGAGACCACCACGCGCCAGAACGAAUCGGGAGUGGAAGGGGAUAUUGUGCAUGUGGACUAGAUUAUUUGGGCUAAAAUUAUCCUAGAUAUAAGAAGAUUUUUGGGUUGCGUCUCGAGCCACGGCCCAGGUGGCCUGGGGCCCAAAUCCACCCCUACUGGUCGAUGGUCCAAGUGGCCUAGUGGCCAGUGCCCAAAUCAGCUCCUGUCCAAGUGAACAUGUUGGUGUGUGUUUUUCUAAAAAUUAGUUAAACUUAGAAAAUUUUGACUAAGAACGAUUGUAGACGGGCAAGAAAAUGUAGUUAUAAUGCAUUUGAGUUCACUAAAACUGAAUGAUUCAUAUCUCCUUUUUUUCUCAAAAUAAAAAACACGAAUAUUUCUUAUUGAUCAUUAAAAUUUCAAAUAUAACUCCACACAAAUACAAUCGUCGAUGGUACAGCGAAAGAAUUUGAAACGACAAACUUAUUCGCUAAUAUUGCAAGAGGCCGACAUGCUCGUAAAUAGAAUCGCGAGAUGGAGCACACAAGGGAUCCCAAGCUUAGUUGGGGCAAGUGAAGUCCUCUGGGCAAAUCCUGCCGCAGUUGUUGAGGAUGAGGUUGAGGCUAAGGGGCACGUUGAGGUGGAUGCCGAGGACGUUGGCCUUGAUGGCGGUGCAGAGGCACAAUGCGGCGUCGAGGUCCACCAGACCCUCCAGCAACGGGCAGCAUUGCUCGUACUGGGGUAGGCCGACCUUGACGAGGCCUAGCACGUUGGCGCACACCUUGAGCUUGAGCGCGUCGAUCGGGCAGCGCCCGUGGCUGUGCGACGACGGAGUCGGCACGACUGGCGGCGUUGGGACGACUGGGCCAGAACAGUUGGGUUCGCAGCCAUGCGCGGUGGCAGCAAACAGGAGGCUCAGGGCAAGGAAGAGCGCAACCUUGGGAGCCAUUGGUGGUGAUGGACUGUUACUACUACGGUUUGAGCAGCUAGCACAGUGAGUGCAGGAAGUGGUGCUUCAGUGCUGCGCUGCGUGCUCUUUGGGAUGGUUUUCACAGGGUGUUUGGCAUGGUUUUUAUAGCUGAUGGAUGGUGUGGAGGGAGAUGCUUUCGUGCUUUAUUAUUGGCGGCAUUCGCACAUGAAUGCUCCAAUGCAUGUAAUGCAUGUGUGUGUGAUUCGAUCGAUCUGGUCAUUGCAUGGUUAUAUCUGAACACGCCAGUUGUUAGCGGGAGAUAUGCCAAUUUUAUACCAUGUGGAAAUAUAGAAGCAAGUUGAGCAAUCAUGCUAAAUUCACAUAGCAAGAGCUAUAGCUAGCUCGUGACGGGUCAGGAUCACUCCUGCCAUCUGGUCAGUUACCAGCUUAUAUACUACUGCUUAACAUAGUUUACUUAUUUGCUUUACCGGUGUCAUACGAGUAGAGGACGUUCUCUAGUCUAUACCAUCCUAAUGUGUUUGGUCAGCUGGGGACAGUUGGGACAGCCAUGUCCCUCGGUGUCCCCUCUUGUCUGUUCAAUUUUAACGGACACACGUAGAUAGUAUCUGGAUGGUUAUGUUCCAACCUCUAAUUUCGAACCAAACAACCUUGUUUAAAGCAUCAUUCUAUCUCAUUUCGUCUCGUUAUUGCAACCAAACACGCCAGUAUAUAUAAAUAAAAAAAGAGGUACCAUGCACUAAUUAUAGCUUACCAGGUAGAAACAUAUUACUCCCACAUUUAAUUCCACAAUAUUGUUCAUUUUAGCUCCUCGUUUUUGUGUCGAUAUUCAAAUGGAUAUCCAAAUGGACGACAAUUACUCUAGACACAUAUAUAAUAACACAUAUCAAAUAUUGUAUGAAUCCGCUAUGGUGCCCUAAAACAAAAUCCUAUUUUGAGAUGGAGGGAAUAUAUCGUAGACACGGAAUUUUGGUAAAUCUCGGGUUUAAUUUUAAAAAGUAUGUUAUUGACCUGUAAAACGUUGGCUAGGAAACGCUGUUCUUUCACAUGUUUCGAUGUUCACUGAAUGAUUGUAUGAUUAACAACUUAAACCAUCUCACCAAGAUUGCUGAGCGCGGGAGAACACCGACGUGCGUGCAUAUGUUGGGCUGGGAGUUCUCCGCUGAAAUCAUGAACCGGGUCGGCAGUCGCAUGCAUGCAUGUAUGUAUGGGCAGUCUACUCCAGCUGGGUUGCAUGUGACGAUAUAUUCUCGUAAUAUCCACCCGUGACGUCUAGUCGUCGUUGAUCGCGAAGCAACCUUGCAUGCUUCGUGUGCUUGAUAUUCUGCAGUUCGCUGCCUGUGUUUGCUAGCGAACGCUACAGCAAAUAACCAGGAAUUCCUUGUAAGUUUAGAUAUUUUUAUUUAGUCAAAGAAUUAAUCGAUUUUUCUUGCUAGCGGUCAUUGCUAGCUUGAGAGUCAUCUCUCUCAAGAAAUAUUUCCUGGGUGGUUUUUCUAAUUUUCUUGAUGAUUUUGGUUCCUCAAGGAAUUUUUUAUGAUCUGAUGCAGUGGACGGUGUAGUGGAAGUACAAUAAUUCGGUGGUUAACACGUCGUGAUGCUGUGGACGAUAAGCAUAGUUCGUUCGUCGCCCUGUGCUGCUGCUUCUUCUUUUUUCUUUUUUACUAUUUGCUAAUGGACAAAAGGGAGUUGUUGCUAACUAAUAUAAAGUACAAUAAGGGCAGCAAUUAACACGUCGUGGUGUGACUACAGUUAGCACAAUUACGGGCUUUAUCUCUCUCGUCACUACUCGCUUUUAAAAAUCUGACAACUUGGUGUGAGCACUUGGACUAGUAGCGCUAGCUAACGCGGCGGGCGAGGAGGGAAUAUCGGCGCUACCCAGAAAUCGCUGAUCAUCAUCUGUCAGCACGCCCUUUAAAAAUUAUUACAGGAUUAUAUUAUAGUAUUACUACUUGUAUAGAUAUCUCCCUCUACGAUGCGAUGACCAAUGCAAAUCAGAGCCUGCUAGCUAGCCGUUAGCCGAUAGCCCAGACCGGACAAGAGUUCAUACUUCUCGAAUAUUUGUCGUCGACUGGUUCAUUUUUAAACUAGAACGUGAUAAAUAAAAAAGAACUAAGAGAGAGUAUAUGGGUUUAUUUUACAGCCACACACAGUACACGCAAUUUCUAUUGGCCCAUCAGUACCAAGUGUGGUGUAAGUGUAACCUAUAGUGAUCGAGCUUUACUUCUAAGUACUAUUAUCACUAUCGUGUACAGCCAUAACCCACAAUACCUGUGGAAAUGUCACUACUAGACCAAUCUAUAACUUGAUGAGAACUCAUAGUUGACAUAGUCGAUACGUACCCAAAUUAUGAGUCGCGAGUGAUUGCCAAGGAGCAAGGAGAUGGUUUGAGCUUUGGUUAAGUACGUAAGUGUGCGUUGGACUAACCGAAGCCAGGGUUGGUCCUAGUAUUUUAGGGGUCAUGAGCGAAAAUUAAAUAGAGGCCCCUUUUAUCUUCGUGUGUAUAUAUAUUUAUGUGUAAUAUACUUAUAUAUAUGUAGUCGUAUUGUUGAGUUUGUAAUCUAAAUUCUGAAUGAGCCGACCAAGUUGACGAGUGAAGUGGAGGCCCGUCGUCGGAAGGCUUGGACAGGAGACAAAGCACCUUAACCUAAAUCACUAACACGUCGUCGGAGGCUUGGGCCAGAGACUGGACACACAAUAGUUUUGGGCUGCCUGAAUCACUGCAGCAUUUUCUGUUUCUAUUUUGUUCACCCUUUAUUCAGAGACUCACACAUGCAGAAAGAAUAGCUGACCGUGUGAAUAGCACAUGGAUUCUCUUGUCACCAAACCAACCCUUGCUGAGUUUCAACCGAAAUUCCAUAUGUAUCAUUUUCUAUGCACAUAAAUCCCAUCCAAAUAACUUGCCAUGAUUUGUUGGCAAGUGAAUUGAAAGGGAUCUAUGCACUAUUCACUCGCUCAGCUAUUCACACAAACUUAGUAAGGGCCUUCCAAUUCGCUUGCCAACAAAUCAGCCCUCCAAUUCAAACUUAGGGGAGAGUCCUGCUUUGCGUACGCUCUCUGGCUGAUGGUGAUGCCUGUCCCGAUCUGACAAACCUCUAGUCUGAGACAGUAAGGCUGCCUCCAGCAGUCUCCUAUCUUAGCUCUUAUUUUAAACUCUAUUUUAUAUUUUAAACUCUACUUUAUACAUAAUACAAUAUAAAACAGUGUAUUUUACACGACCAUAUAUACAGUCUGCUAAACAUGACCUUAAUGCGCGCAAAAAUAUAUUCAGCCAAAUGUUCUCUUCGACGGAAACGUGAAAACCAUCGUGUAUCGUGGCAUCAUCACUGCACUCGAAUGUUAGCUGCCAGGUUAUUGCUACAAACAGGCUCAUAGUGGUGCAUGACACAUCCGACUAAGAAAUGCUGGCAACGGAUUGUUAAUACUCGAAUCUGUAGCAUCAGGAAUAGGUUCAGAGCUGGUUGCAUUAUUGUAGGGCAAACCCAUGCUUCACAAUAUUCAGCAAAUCACAUAACGGUGGUUUACAACAAGGCAGUCACAAAAAAACCAUGGUAAAUAAGUUUCCCCCUGCUUCUCUCUGAUGGAAAGGAGAUAUAGAUCUCAGAUCAUAUUCAUCAAAGUGCCUUGUCAAACAGACAAAAAACCUUCUAUGGUCUAUCACCAAGCUCAGCUCUCAAGUUGUCGUACGGGUAGACUUUGGGAGUCUGCAACAGUUGGACACGUUUAGGUUAGCUCAAUCAAUAAAACAUGUCAAGAAAAGAUACCGAUUCUCAAGAAAUAACAUGAAUUCAGAAAUCAUAGGACAUACACAUUCUUUUUACACGUUGUGAAACAGGCAUGCCUUUGUACACAAGGCCCUUUUGCAGAACAGAGUAAAUAAUACAUUUUGGGUAUGGGUGGUAAUAGAUCAUAAUCCAAAUGUUUCUUUAAAUGUUUCUUCACAAUUUGUUUGACCCCUUAAUUAAUUUUAGUUUAAAAAUGAAUAGAAAUAGAGUCUGAUACUAAUCCAAUCCUUAAAUUUUAUAGUAUAAAAUUAAGAGCCCCGUUGUGGGUACUUCCUAGAAUCCCUUUAAACACAAACUACUCUGCCUAGGGGUGGUAGUGGAUGUGGAUCAUGAUUCCAAUGUUUCUUCACAAUUUGUUUGACCCCUUAAUUAAUUUUAGUUUAAAAAUGAAUAGAAAUAGAGUCUGAUACUAAUCCAAUCCUUAAAUUUUAUAGUAUAAAAUUAAGAGCCCCGUUGUGGGUACUUCCUAGAAUCCCUUUAAACACAAACUACUCUGCCUAGGGGUGGUAGUGGAUGUGGAUCAUGAUUCCAAUGUUUCUUCAUGAUUCGUUUGAGCCCUUAAUGAAUUUUAGUUCAAAAAUGAAUAAAAAUAGAGCUCACUCCUAAUAUAAUCCGAUCCUGUGUAAAAUUUAGAGCCCGUUACCACCCCUAGCUCUGCCUAACCAAAGCUCAUUGAGAAAACCCAUUCUGUACAACAUUUCUAAGUGCUUGUAGACGUUACCUAUCAAUGAAAACAAACUUAUAUAGUUCAGCUCUCGCAUUCAUGUGGUGCAGCCAUCAUUAGUUAUUUAAAUGUUGAUUCUAUUCAAAUCUGAUGUGAAGUGUGACCAAUGGCGCGUUUAGUUUGCUUCCAGACUGGAGUUCAAUUUUAGGUUUCAUGCACUUGCUCUCUCCCCUCUCCUGUCUCCCUAUUUGUUAGCACACGUUCAAUCACUUCCCGAGAAGGCAAACAUUUUCAACUGUGAUCAAAUAUGUAUAAGGCUGUCUCCAACGGACCGCGGAUGCGAUCGUGGAUACUCAAAAUGAGUAAGGCCAUCUCCAGCAGAUCCUCUAUCACAUUCUCUAUUUCAAACUUCACUCUGUAAACAGCAAACAGCAUCAUCUACACUUAACCGUCCCCUAUUUCACACGAUCCACCGAAGACAGCCUAAGAAAACGCAACUAUUCAUCCAUCCAGCAGGUCGCGCAUGCGGUCGCGCAAAAUGCACAGCCUCCAUCCACGUCGCGGAUAUCCGUGAGCUCUCGCGGCCGAGGAAAAAGGCAGAGCUCUCAGCAGAGAACAGACCUCAAUUUUCUUGCGGCGCCUUUACUAAACGUAUGCGCGAUGAGAUGCACGAUCUACUGGAAACAGUGCAUUUUGCGCGACGCGUCGCGGGGCCUCAAACGCCCCCAAACCGCAUGCGCAUCUGCAUUGCUAUUGGAGACAGCCUAAGAAAAUAUUAAUAUUUAUGAUGCGUAGUUAGUACCAGUAGACAAUUUGAUGAAUAUAUUUCUAUAAUAAACUUAUAUGGAGAUAAAAAUGUUGAUAAUAAUUCCUAUAAACCUAGUUGAACUUAAGGUAGUUUCACUCGCACAAACACCAUAACGACAUUGUUUUCAGGACAGCAGAGUAUGUCACACUCAUUGCUGACUGAGCCCCAAGCCAAUGCUGGGAACCAAAACAUAAUAACUCAGUAUUUAGGCUAGAUAACUAAUCCAGUUUCAAACUCCGCCUAUGUUGUCUCACCAUAUGUUGGUGCAGCAUAGCCUGGUCCCAAGUCCAGUACAAGGAGGAGGGUUGCGUUAGGCGUGGCGAGCCAGCUAUAAAAAUAUAGGUACUCAAAAUGGAGAUGAAACCCAAUAGAAAACCGUUGGGGCGUAACCCUCUUACCGACGUGCCAUAUCGGAACCCGGGUAUGGUGUUAAAUGGGCAAGGGCUGGGAUGCCACCCCCUUGGUGGCGCGCCGUGUCGUGAUCUGGAUGCGGUGUCAAGUGAGCAAGGAUCGGGUCGUCGCUUCCUUAGUGGCGCGCUACAUCGGCGCCCGGGUGUAGUGACAAAUGUGCAAGGGUCUUCGCAUCUGUCUCAACGGGUGCGAGGGGGUAAGGAAGCUAGUUGAGCUGACUAGGAUCCGUGUAGGUAGUUGAAACGUAGGGUCCCUUACAGGUAACCUAAGAGAGUUAGUCGAUGCAGCGAGAAGGAGGCAUGUUAGUAUCCUAUGUGUCCAGGAGGCAAAAUGGAAAGGGCAAAAAGCGAAGGAGGUGGAGAACACUAGUUUCAAAGUAUGGUACUCAGGAACAGUGGCAAACAAAAAUGGAGUAGGCAUCCUGAUUGAUAAGACCCUCAAGGAUGGAGUGGUGGACGUCAAAAGGCAAGGAGAUAGGAUUAUCCUAGUCAAACUAGUUUUGGGGGAUGUAGUCUUGAACAUUAUAAGUGCAUAUGCCCCUCAGGUUGGUCUCAGUGAGAGCGAGAAGAGGAAGUUCUGGGAAGACUUAGAUGGCAAUGGUCAGAGCGGUACCCACCAAUGAGAAGCUUUUCAUAGGAGGAGAUCUCAAUGGUCAUGUAGAUUGAACAAAUAUAGGUUGAGCUGGCUCAUGAAGGUUUCGGGUAUGGUAGUAGGAAUCAAGAAGGAUAGGAUAUUUUGGACUUUGCUAUAGCCUACAACCUAGUGAACCUAAGGAUACUUGGUGGUGGACCGAGGAUGUUCAAAAGGCAAUAAAGGAGAAGAAAGAAUGUAACAGGAGCUUGUUCCAUGACAGGAGCGCGGUCAACAUAGAGAGGUAUAAGGUGGUAAAGAAGACAGCAAUGCGAGCUAUGAGUGAGGCAAAGGGUCAAGCAUAUGAUGAUCUUUACUGAAGACUAAGAACAAAGGAAGGGGAGAAAGAUGUCUAUAAGAUAGCUAGGAUUCGAGAAAGGAAGACGAGGGACCUCAACCAAGUUAAAUGCAUUAAGUAUGAGAUGGAUCAACUCUUGGUGAAAGGACAAGACAUCAAACAGAGGUGGCAGAGGUAUUUUGACAAUCUUUUCAAUGGUGAGAAUGAGACCAUAGACAUCCAAUUGGAUGACUCCUUUGAUGAUCUAAAUAGAUGCUUUGUACGCAGGAUCCAAGAAUCAGAGGUCAAAGAAGCUUUAAAGAGGAUGAAAGGGGACAAGGCGAUGGGCUCGAAUGGUAUCCCAAUAGAGGUGUGGAAAUGCCUUGGGGAUAAUGCUAUCGUUUGGCUAACCAAGUUGUUCAACCAUAUUUUUCGAUCAAACAGGAUGCCCGAUGAGUGGAGUACAUUAGUACCAAUCUUCAAGAACAAGGGAGAUAUUCAAAGUUGUACCAACUAUCGAGGGAUUAAGCUCAUGAGCCACACUAUGAAGCUGUCAUGGGGGAUAGCUGUAUUCUCCGGCGAGGUUAUACCCCUCUACCGCAGGCUUGGUUCUAGGGUAGCAGCCCUAGGCGCUUGAGAGGGUCAUUGCAAGAGAGAGAGAUUGGUUUGAUAAUGAUCUUGCUUGAUUUAUUCCUUGCUGCCAUGCGGCUUAUAAAUAGCCCUAUGGCUAACCAACUUCUCCUACAAACUCUCAACUAACUCCUACUUUCUUGGACUUAUCUGAUGCUAACCAACUCUCCACAAUUCUCUCAUUUCAAUCUUAUUCUCUAACCUUAUCCCAGCUCAUCUCAAUCUUAUUCUCUAGCCUUAUCCCAGCCUGGCUGUUGCCUCUCGCUCCCUAUUAUGCCCAUGACAGAAGCUAUGGGAGAGAGUUAUUGAGCAUCGCCUGAGAGGAAUAACGCAUAUCACCAUGAACCAAUUUGGAUUCAUGCCUGGAAGGACAACCAUGGAAGCAAUUUUCUUAAUAAGGCAGGUCAUGGAGCAAUAUAAGGAGCAGAAGAAGGACUUGCACAUGGUUUUUAUCGACUUGGAAAAGGCCUAUGAUAAAAUACCUAGGAAUCUCAUGUGGUGGGCAUUGGAUAAGCAUAAAGUCCCAACAAAGUAUGUUACGCUCAUCAAGGACAUGUAUGACAAAGUGGGUAACUAGUGUCCGAACAACUGAUGGUGGUACAGAUGUUUUCCCGAUUAACAUAUGACUACAUCAAGGUUCAGCUUUGAGCCCUUAUCUAUUUGCCUUAGUGAUAGAUGAGGUCGCGAGGGAUAUACAAGGAGAUAUCUCUUGGUGUAUGCUUUUCGCUAACGAUGUAGUUCUAGAUGAAAGCCGGGAAGGAGUAAAUAGAAAGCUAGAGUUAUGGCGUCAGACCCUAUAGUCAAAAGGAUUUAGAAUUAGCAGGACCAAAACCGAAUAUAUGAGAUGUGACUUUGGUACUACAAUUAGUGAGGGUGGAGAUGUAAGUUUGGGAGGCCAGGUAGUACCAAAGGACACCUUCCGUUAUUUGGGAUCGAUGCUACAGAGAGAUGGUGACAUUGAUGAAGAGGUUAGCCAUAGAAUCAAAGCGAGGUUGAUGAAAUGGCGUCAAGCAUCAAGAGUCCUAUACAACAAGAGAGUGCCACAGAAGUUUAAAGUCAAGUUCUACAGGACAGCGAUUAGGCCUGCUAUGUUAUAUGGGGCUGAGUGUUGGCCUACUAAGAGACGACAUAUCCAACAACUAAGUGUCGCAGAGAUGCGUAUGUUGCGUUGGAUAUGUGGGCACACAAGAUUGGACCGAGUGAGAAACGAUGACAUACGCGAUCGACUAGGAAUAGCGUCAAUUGGAGAAAAGCUUAUUCAACACCGGUUGAGAUGGUUUGGGCAUGUCCACUAGAGACCCUCAGAGGCACCGAUGCAUAGAGGCAUCAUAAGAUGGGACAAUAAUGUGAAGAGAGAGAGGUCGACCAAACUUAACAUGGGAGGAGGCAAUCAAAAGGAACUUGAAGGAAUGAAAUAUCCUAAUGGAGUUGUAUUUGGAUAGAAGUGCUUGGAAAGAAGUUAUCCACGUGCCCGAACCAUGAUUGGGCCUUUUUUCCUUUUAGUGCUCUCAGAAGCUUUUCCCUCCCCUUUUUCUCUCUUUCCCCUUUUGGUGACAUCUUGUUGGGUUUCAACUCUAGCCUACCCCAACUUGCUUGGGACUAAAAGGCUAUGUUGAUGUUGAUGUUGAACUAAUCCAGUUUCAAAUAUUCGGAGCAAAAGGACUUAUGUGACCUUCCAUGCAGUUACAGAAUCAGAAAAAAGUGAAGUGAGGACCGAGGAGAUUUCAUUUAGUAUCUGUACUUGCACUGUUGUCACUAUGUGCUCACAGAUUAAAUAAGGCAGUUCUACGAUAAUUUAAUCUGCAAAAAACACACCAGAAAGGACAUUGUGGGUACUUCCUGGUUUCCCUACAAAUAUUGUUAUUGAGUGCGAGUGCACAACUACUCUGCCUAAUCGAAGCUCAUUGAGAAAACUCAUUCCGUAGAAGAUUUCUAAGAUCACCCACUACCCAGUGUUUGUAGACAUUACAAACCAAAGAAAACAGGCUUAUAUAGUUCAGGUCUCUGAAUCAGUGACUUCCCUAAUACAUACUACCAUUGGCCAGGUCAACCUCUGACCACAUCCCCGCUGCAAAGUGCAAAUUGGCACUUCCAUCCCAAAAGCUCAAGUUUUUAGAUUUGAUUUUUUUGGGUGGAGCACCGUGGCUUCUUUGAUUUGGUGAAAUCAAUAUGGAGUACAAAUGUCAAUGUCCAAAUAGUGCUUCAAGAAUUACUGCUAAAUUCAAGCGCUUAAGAGUUGCAUUAAAAAGGUGGAGCAAAAGUCUGUCUAACUUCAAUAACCUGAUCAAAAACUGUAAAGCCAUCCUUGAAACUCUUGAUGCCUUGGAAGAAUAAAUACCCCUUCACCUAUCUAGGACUGCCAAUGGGUACUACCAAACCCAGGGUUGAUCACUUUGGCUGCGUCAUGAAUAAAACAGAAAGAAGGCUUACAGCUACAUCAAAUCAUCUAACACAUGCAGGAUGGCUAGAAUUGGUUAACUCAGUGCUCUCUUCUUUGCCAACAUAUGCAAUGUGCACUCUGCAGGUGCCAGUAACAGUUCUUGAGUAUAUUGAUAGAGCUAGAAGGCACCGUUUAUGGAGAGGGUCAGAUAGCAAUGCUAAGAUGAAGCCUCUGGUUGUGUGGAAAAAAAUUGUAGACUCAAAAGGAAAGGAGGCAUUGGCCUCAUUAAUCUGAGAAGUCAAAAUAGAGCCUUUCUGCUUAAACAUUUGGACAAAUUCUAUAGCAAAAAGGAGAUCCCUUGGGUGAAACUUGUCUUGCACGUGCAUUAUUCCAAUGGUGAAAUCCCACAUGCAACUAGUGACAAACAGACAAAGGCUCUUUUUGGUGGAGACAUCUUGAAGCUAUGUGAUCUCUUCAGAGGAAUUGAUUUUGGCACCACACGAGGAUGGAGAUAUGAUUUUGGCACCACACGAGGAUGUAGAUGUUAGUUUGGAAAGUGUAGUGCCUAAGAAGGACCUUUUGGUAUUUAGGAUUAAUGCUAUAGAGAGAUGGGCAUAUUGAUGAAGAUGUUAAACAUAGAAUCAAAAUAGGGUAGAUGGAGUGGCGUAAAGCAUUUGGCGUUCUAUAUGACAAGAGGGUACCACACAAGCUAAAAGGAAAGUUUUAUAGAACGGCGAUUAGACCUGCUAUGUUGUAUGGUGCAGAAUGUUGGCCUCCAAAAAUACGUCAUGUUCGGCAGAUAAGUGUUGCGAAAAUGCAUAUGUGCAUUGGAUUUAUAGCCAUACAAUAAGGAUUUUGACAUGGAUAAGUGCCAAUAUUAAUUUAAUUUUGCUGAAACAUCAAGCUACGGGCCCAUUUUAUGAAUAAAACAAGAUUCUCUACAGAUACUUCGGGCAUGGUUAUUAAAACGUCGCUUAAACGACGUUUAAGCGUCGUUUAAGCGCUAAAACGUGUUUAGUAGUUAAAACGUCCGCACGUUUUACGAAAAGUGCGUAGAACGUUCGUUCUAGACGUUUAAACAGCGUUUAAGCGUCGGAUCGCACAUUCUGGACGUUUUCUCAGGUGUAUGGACGUUCUACGCGCAUGUGAGUUAGUGGGCCAUAAUGGGCCUUUACCCAGCCGGCUCAUCCAUCGCGCUCCUCAGACGCCAGUUCCCAGCCGCCAUCGCGCAGAGCCGUCGGCCGCCAGACUGAGCAAACUCCAUCGCGCCAGACGAAGUCGCGCCCAGACUGAGCAGACGUCGUCGGCCGCCAGACGCAGUUGGCCGCUCUCCAGGUACGCCGCCGGUCAGCCCCUGUAAGUAGAGGGACUCUAACUCUCAUCAGAGGAUGACACUAUGAGUUGGGGCAAUUUUCUGUUUAUUUCCUCAAACACUACACAAUGCCAUACCCUUAGAGGGGUUGGGGACACAUAUUUAUAGCCCUAGGGGCUGCACUACACUACACUACACACUACACACCGCAACACACAGAUGCUGUCCUCUAGAUACUAAAGUGCUAAAGUGUGCAGUCAAAAAACUGCAACUGCCAGCUACUGCUAAAGUGCAGUCAAGAACUGCAACUGCCAGCUACUGCUACUGUCCUGCUGCUGCAGCAGUCAAAAGUGCUGCUGUGCUGCAGCAGUCAAAAGGUGACUGUCUCCAACUGCACUCAACUGCACUGCUGCUGUGCUGCAGCAGUCAAAAGAUGCUGUUGUGCUGCAGUCCUGUACUGCUGUGCUGCUGUCCUGUUCACCACAAACCAGAGACCACAUGACUUAUUCUAUCAUUCUCCCCCUAAGUCUUGUGCGUCGUCUUGUGGGAAAGUUGAGCCAUCCCGGACCUGGAACAAAGCUCAAGGAACUUGAUCCUCCCAAGGGGCUUGGUGAGCAGGUCUGCAAGCUGAUCCUUGGUGUUGAUGUAGCGCGCAUGAAUGCUCCCUUCUGCCAAACAGUCACGGAUGAAGUGGUAUCUCAUCCGGAUGUGCUUGCUCCGUUCAUGGAACACGGGGUUCUUGGCCAAUGCCAGAGCGGACUGGCUGUCCACCCUGAGUUCCACCGCUCCAGUGUCUCUUCCGAGGAGAUCACCGAGCAGUCGAGCCAGCCAGAGCGCCUGAGUCGAAGCAGUGGACGCCGCUAUGUACUCGGCCUCGCAGCUGGACAUGGCCACCACCUGCUGCUUGAUCGACUGCCAACUAAUGAGGCACUUGUCGAGGAAGAAGAGGAUCCCGCUUGUGCUCUUGCUAGUGUCGAUGUCGCCGGCGUGGUCGCUGUCGCUGUACCCGACAAGGUGUGCCCCCCCAGGGCACCUCGGGUAGUAGAGACCGUGGUCGAGAGUCCCCGCAACAUAGCGGAUGAUCCUCUUCACAGCCUGGUCAUGCUCCAUCGUCGGUCGCUGCAAGAACCGACUAACGUAGCCGACGGAGUAUGCCAAGUCAGGCCGUGUGUGGACGAGGUAGCGAAGGCUCCCCACAAGACGCCGAUACUGAGUAGCAUCCACCUCCUCCGUCGUGCUGUCGCGGCUCAGCUUCAGCCUCUCCUCCAUCGGAGUGAGAGCUGGGUUGCAGUCGGUGAGCCCAGCCAGCUCAACAAUGCGCCUGGCAUAGGCGGUCUGGCGAAGUGUGAUCCCGGAGUCUCCCUGGUGCACCUCAAUCCCCAGGUAGAAGGAGAGAUGCCCCAGGUCACUCAUUUGGAAGGUGGCCUUCAUCUCUUCCUUGAACGCUGCCACCUCUGCAUCCUUGGCGCCGGUGAUCACCAAGUCGUCGACGUAGACACCCACCAGCAGGGCAUUUUCUCCAUUGCCCCGCCGAUAGAUGGCCGCCUCGUGCGGGCUUGACAUGAAGCCCAUCCUCUUGAGCGUGGAAUCCAGCUUGGCAUUCCACGCCCUUGGUGCCUGUCGCAAGCCGUAGAGAGCCUUGCGCAGGCGCAACACCUUGCCCUCCUUGCCAGGGAUCGCAAAACCUGGCGGCUGGUGUACGUAGACCUCCUCCUUUAAGUCGUCGUUAAGAAACGCCGACUUGACAUCCAUGUGAUGAACAUGCCAGCCCUCCAGGGCUGCCAGCGCGAGGAGGAGUCGCACGGAUUCCAUCCGUGCUACAGGGGCGAAGGCAUCGUCGAAGUCGAUCCCCUCCUGCUGCAAGAAACCGCGUGCCACCAAGCGAGCCUUAUGCUUGACGAUGGCGUCGGCUUCAUCCCUCUUCAGUUUGAACACCCACUUAAGGGUGAUCGCGCGAUGACCAUGAGGGAGAUCAGCGAGCUCCCAAGUGCGGUUUGUCUCAACCGCGUCCAUCUCCGACUGCAUCGCGGCACGCCAAGCCGCAUGUUUCUCGGCCUCCGCGAAAGACCGAGGCUCACCAUCGUCGCAUGCAAGAUGCAACUCUCCUGCCAGAAUGCGAGAUGCAGGGCCUGGCACCGACGGGUCGAUGAGAAGGCCCUCCACCCUUCGAUACCGCAACGGCUCGCCGUCGUAGCACGCGUCGACGCGCUCCUCGUCGCGGGACAGAGGGGUCACGAGCUCCACUGGGUCGUGCUCGACACGAGCUGGUGUCGGAGAGGACGUUCCCGGAGAGGGUACCGUCGGUGCUGGAGUACGUGGUGGCGAAGAGCUCGCUGUAGCCGGAGUCGUGGCUGGAGUGCGUGGUGGUGAAGAGCUCGUUGUAGCAGGAGCUAGAGAAUGUGGCGCUGGAGUCGGUGGAGACUUGGGGGCUGGGGUAGACCUGCUCGGAGAAGAGUUGCCUACUCCCCCAGCUCCCUCAAAGUGGACGUACUCGAUGGUGAAGUCGUACGUUGGAGUCGUGCCGUCGUCCACCGCCUUGUCCCACGCCCAUCCUCGCCCUUCAUCGAACACUACGUCGCGCGCCGUGCGCACACGCUGUGUUCUUGGGUCAAGGAUGCGGUAGGCCUUCGAGCCCUCCGCAUAGCCAAUGAACACCCCCGGGGUGCUCCUAUCGUCGAGCUUGCUGAUGUGGCCAAGCUCCUUGGUGAACGCGAGGCAGCCGAAGACCCGUAGGUGAGAGACCGCCGGCUUGCGCCCAUGCCAAGCCUCGUACGGUGUCAUCCCGUUGAGAGCCUUGGUGGGCGAGCGGUUGAGGAUGUAAACCGCUGUCACCACAGCCUCUCCCCAGAAGACAGUUGGCAUUCCUCUCUGCUUGAGGAGAGCCCGAGCCAUCCCCACAACCGUCUGGUUGCGUCGCUCGACGACGCCGUUCUGCUGCGGGCUGUACGGCGCGGAGUACUGGCGCUGAACGCCCUCAUUCGCGCAGUACGACGCGAACUCAGCCGCCGUGAAUUCGCCGCCGUUGUCGGUGCGCAGCUUGCGGCCGCACUCCGCCUCCGCAGCGACCUGCACACGCCUGAUGGCGUUCGCAGCCUCUCCCUUGCUGCCAAGGAUCAUCACCCACAUGUAGCGGGAGAGAUCGUCGACGAGCAGCAAGAAGUAGCGUCGUCCUCCUGGUGUGGCUGGUGUCACCGGGCCACACAAGUCCCCAUGCACGAGCUCGAGCCUCUCCUUGGCUCGGAAGCUCGACUGUUGGGGAAAGGGGAGCCGUCUCUGCUUUGUCAACACGCAGACAUCGCAGAAUUGCUCCACAUGGUCAAGGCACGGCAGGCCUCGUACCAUCUCCUUGGCACUGAGCCGCUUCAGGGCCUCGAAGUUAAGGUGCCCGAAGCGCUCGUGCCACUGCCAUGCUCCGUCGUCUCGACGAGCAGCAAGGCAGCAAGGUUGUGCCACCUUCACAUUGAGGAUGUAAAGCCGAUUUGCACUCCUGCGUACCUUGGCAAGAAGGCGACGAGAGGGAUCCCAGAUCCUCAUGACUCCGUGCUCAACCUCCACGCGCGAACCGUUCUCAUCCAGCUGUCCCAAGCUGAUGAUAGAGUUCCUCAACGCGGGGAUGUAGUAGACUCCGGUGAGCAGCCUGUGCUCACCAGACGCGGCGGUGAAGACGACUGAGCCGGCGCCCUUGAUCUCUACGCCGGAGGCGUCCCCAAACUUGACGGAGCCUCGGACGCUAGAGUCAAGCUCGGUGAAGAACUCCCGUCGGCCGGUCAUGUGAUGAGUGGCGCCGGUGUCGAGGCACCAUCCUUCGAUCAUGUCCUUGUUGGAGCCGUCGCCGAGGAAAGCGCGUGCUUUCGACUCAUCAAGGUGGAGGAGUGCCGCUGCGGCCGGUGCCGCUGGAGAUGGCUCGAUGCUUGCAUGUGCCAGGAGCAGGGCCUCCUCCUCCGCCUCCGCCUGUGCGACGUUGGCCUGGCCACGUCGUGGCUGCCGACAAUCCCUGGCCCAGUGGCCAAGCUUGCCGCAGUUGUGGCAGCCGUCGUCUCGUGCCGGCUUCUUGUUGCCGACGGCGCCGCCUUGGGCACCUCCACGUGCACCACCCUCAGCAUGUCCUCGCGCCCCGGCCUGGGCGCCACCACGCGGCUUGCGCGGCUUGCCGCGUUUGCGGCCUCGUGUCGAGGAGGAGGACUCCCCCUUCUUGUCACCCUGGCAGGCCUCCCACUGCUCCCGAGUGAGAUGUAGCUUCCCGCCGAUAGUGAUAGGCCCAGAGAGAGCCUGUGGUUCGUCGCCGUCGACCACCUUGAGGCGACCAAUCGCCUCUUCGAUCGUCAUCGUGGAGAGGUCUAGCAGAGACUCGAUCGAGCGAGCAAUCUGCCUGUACUUCUCGGGGAUGCAACGGAAGAGCUUCUCAACAGCUCUCUCCUCAUCGUAGGUGUCGUCGCCGAACUGCACCAUCUUCUGCAACAGAGUUUUGAGGCGGAGAGCAAAGUCAUCAACAUCCUCACCUGGCUUGAAGGCCAGGUUCUCCCACUCCUUGCGAAGUGCCUGCAGUGUGGUCUUGCGGGCACGAUCGCUGCCGAUGCGGGUCGCAGCGAUGGCGUCCCAGGCCUCCUUGGCAGUCCGCUUCUGGGAAAGCGAAAACUGCAUCUCGGGCGGGACUGCAGCAAUGAGAGCAUCCAGCGCCCGCCGAUCCUCGUGGUAGUCGACGUCGUCGUAACGAACUGCUUCCCACAUGUGGCGAACCUGGAGUCGUACCCUCAUCACCGCGGCCCACUCGACGUAGUUGGUCUUGGUGAGGGUAGGCCACCCACCGCCGGGACCGAUGUCCCUGACAAUGGCCUGGGCCAUGCGGCGACCAUGGUACCGAUCCGGGGAGGGAGAACCGCGCCGCCUGUAGAGGCCGCGAUCUCCGUCGACUCGGUCGCCGCCGCCGGGAGCACCGCCGGCGCGUCUACGCCCGUCUGGGCUACCGCCGCGUGCGCCCCCGCCUGGAGCGCCGUCAGCGUGUCGGCGCCUAUCCGGGCUGCCGCCACGCGCGCCCCCAUGGGGAUGCGCGGCUGCCCACUGUGUCGCCUGCUCUCGCGCUGCUUCCCUCGCCAGCCUGAGCUCUUCGUCGGUGUUGUCGUCGACAGAAGCAGAGCUGCCUGCUCUACUGCCGCGCAGAACCUCGAGCUCUGUUGCCGCCGCACGUGCAGCAUCCGCCGCCUCCGCUGCUUCUACUUCCGCUCUCGCCGCUGCCAGUUCCGCCGCCGCCAACCGUGCUGCCCUCGCCGCUGUCGCUGCAGCCGCUGCUGCUGCUCGCUCGCGUUCUUGUGCCGCGGCGACCUCGGCCUCCUGCUGGCGCCGCGCACUCGAAGUGACCGAGCGUAGGGACAUGGUGGGCUAGUGAGGGGUCGCUGCGAGUGGAAGAGGCUGUCUCAGACGAAAGGCUGCUCGUCUGAGCAGGAGAGGAAGGAACAGUUCGAGCUCUUGCUGCCGACUGAGUGUGGGGAGAGGCGCGGGAAGGAGAUGAGCAAGAGAUGUUUAGGCUACAGGAUAGUUUGGCUCCGAUACCAAUUGUAAGUAGAGGGACUCUAACUCUCAUCAGAGGAUGACACUAUGAGUUGGGGCAAUUUUCUGUUUAUUUCCUCAAACACUACACAAUGUCAUACCCUUAGAGGGGUUGGGGACACAUAUUUAUAGCCCUAGGGGCUGCACUACACUACACUACACACUACACACCGCAACACACAGAUGCUGUCCUCUAGAUACUAAAGUGCUAAAGUGUGCAGUCAAAAAACUGCAACUGCCAGCUACUGCUAAAGUGCAGUCAAGAACUGCAACUGCCAGCUACUGCUACUGUCCUGCUGCUGCAGCAGUCAAAAGUGCUGCUGUGCUGCAGCAGUCAAAAGGUGACUGUCUCCAACUGCACUCAACUGCACUGCUGCUCUGCUGCAGCAGUCAAAAGAUGCCGUUGUGCUGCAGUCCUGUACUGCUGUGCUGCUGUCCUGUUCACCACAAACCAGAGACCACAUGACUUAUUCUAUCAGCCCCCCUCCUCCCUCCUCCCUCUUCCCUCUUCCCUCUUCCCUCCACGUACAGGCGCGGCGCCAACCCGGCAGCGCCAUUGCUCAUUUGCUCCAGAUCCCGGACUGGAGCACUGCAACGGCUCAGGUGAGGUACUGCUCGGCCAGGAGCAGAGAGAGAGAGAGCUAGCUAGAGAGAUGUGUAUUCUAGCUGCCUAGCUAGAGACAUGGCGCGGCAAUACUGAACAUGGCAUUCUGUGGUAAUACUGAAUGCCACAGACGUCAUAUAAUGUUCAUAGACAUUGGCGCCAUAGCUGCCCUGCCGGAAUGAAGGCAGUAAGGCACUGCUCUGCCAGGAAUCUCCAGCCAGUGUGCAGUGCUGCAGUGAAGCAGCCACCAGCCAGUGCUCUAGCCAAUGUGUGUUGUAGGCUAAAUGUACAAUAUGUUAAUACCAUUCUACUGUGUGUUGCAGGCGAAAGUGUGCAGUGAAUUUCAAUUUCAAUGGCAACAAAUAGCGAGGCUAAUGACUUAUUCUAUAUUUGAAAUUCUAUGUCAAGUCUGAAAAGACGUUUCAACGUUCGUUUAAAUGUUUAAACGUUGAAAAGUUGGUUCAUAACAUUUUAACGUUUUACCGCUUUAAUAACCAUGACUUCGGGCAUGGUCGUAUGGAUAAGCUUUGCUCAUACUGAAUGUGUCACUUCAAUUCCAUCUACCAAUUUACCAGUUUUCUUUUCCUAUAAAAUGCUAAAUUACCAUAGGUGGAGUGAUAUCUGUAGGCAUGCAAAUUUUCCAUGAGGGUCCAAAUUUCAACAUUUGAAAGCAAUAUACUAUAGUUUUGUCUGGUAGGAACUUUAUUUUGCAUGGUGUCUGAUAGGAACUUGAACUAAUAAUAUCUUCUAAUGACUUAACAAUAGCCCAAGGAGUCAGGUUUUUAACAUAUCAUAGAUAGUUGCCGUGGGUGGAGUGAUAUCUAUAGCACAACAAACACUGGAAGACCAAAAUGCAAUCAGAGAAAUAGCAGUUAGCAAGAAAUAACAGUUAGCAAUGUGCACUCACAUAUGGUAUAUUGGAGGCCUUGUCGUUCACAACAGCAGCCAUACCGAGGGCAGCGAAGAACCCUAGCCCUCCGCACAGCCACGCCAACGCCUCGUACUAUCGAUCAUCAAAUACAGAACCAAUCAGCAGCCAAAUCAAAACAAUCCUACUGCAAUGCGCAACGUAUUUGAUCAGGUCCAUAUUACCUUGCCGAUGUGCGGGGCAAGGCGGUCGAUGCAGGGUUCCGGGAAGGGCGUGCCGUUAUCCCAUACCAACUCGUCGUUCACGGGGAGCUGUGAUCCAAACCAAAAAAAAACAGAUCCGAUCAAUUUGAGAUGGAAAUUCACUGGACGGGGAUGAGGAGAACACGAGCUAUGGUUGGAUUUGGACUCGUGCUGCUGGGGACAUACGGGCUUGUCGGGGACGAUGUGGCGGCCGACGGGGAGGCCCAUGCCGGCGCGGUGUCGGAGGGCGGAAGCCGCGGCGCGUGCGCCGCCGCCGCCCAGGAUGCGGGACCCUGCCGCGGUUAGCCUCCCAGCCAUCUCUCGCUUGCUCGCUCACCGAUCUGUGCGAGUCCUCCUGCAGUGAGUUCGGUUGCGCGGCUCGUCGGCAGCCGUGGAGACAGAAGUAGGGCCGAAAAAAAAACUCGACGAUGGCGAGUCGGCUCCAGCUCGGUGCGGCCGAGCCUCUUUUCGAGCUCAUCAAAGAAGCGAGCCAAGCCAAGCCAGUUGUAUUAAAUUAAUUAAUCUACAAAUAGCAAUAGAUAUCGGAUGGUUCAAUAGAUACUAUGUCUCCGUGCGUUGCAACGAAAACAUAUAAUAUCACGAUAACUUAUAUAUAUAUAUAUGUGUUCUACAGUUAUAGGAUGGAUGACAACAUCUACGAGCCGUCUGGGAUGACAUUAAAGUGAAACUCGGGCCUGCGACACACGGGCAGUGACCUGGUAGUGUAUUAUAUAAGAUUUAAUAAGAAUAUUUAAUGGUAAAAAUUCAAGAAUGAUCUUUUAUAGAACGUCAUAGUUGAGAUAUUCAAAUCAAUAAAUAUAAAAUAAACGUAAUCAUAAUUGUCUAUUUAAUCUAUUUUUUCCAUAAUAUGUUUAAGUUACUCUUGUAUAUUUCUAGGAAUGUUAAAUCGAUAUCUGUUCCUCUCGUAUGUCAACAGAUCAAUAAAUAAAUUCCUAUGCAGAGUCACACCAUCCUGUAAAAAAUGUUAUAAGCAAUAUUAUCCUCAACUACAAAUUACAUAUAUGCUAUUAUUCUCACCAUGCUAAGUUGCACUUUUAAACCACUGUCCCACCACUCCAUAAUGCGUAGAGCAAAAUGACCAGAAAAAGUUACCAACUUUGUUAUAUUAUGAAAUUAUAAACAUAACAUCUAUAUAUAUAUAUAUAUGACAUAAUAAUUGUAAGUAAUUAUCUUUUUAAGUCGAUUGGAGCAUCAGGUCGAAUUAAAUGUAGCCACAUAUUAAUAUCAUGUGACCAUCCGAUACAUUUGACAAAGUAUGCGGCCUUAUAUUUCUUCGAAAUAAAAAGAAUAGCUUACCAAAAACUUUUUAGUGGUAUAUCUUUGCACCUUUAUGGAGUAGGUGUAAAAUUAAACACAGACACAGAUUUGUUUGCAUGAUUAAUAACGAAAAGUACAUAGCUUAUAGAGUCUAUCCAUGGCAUAAGAACCUACAAACCAUAAGACAUUAGCAUUCUAUGUUUGUACAAUUUAAUUAUAUAGAUCAAAGGAACUAUGACUUACAAAUUUGCAAAGUGUGAUGUAAUAAUUCAUUUCAGGCCAAUUAUUUAAUGUUUCUGCCAACUCUAUCGCGCUAGGAUCCUUAUAAGACUUCACUUCUUCAUCAAAACCACACAUUUCCUGGAGAAAAUAUAACAAUAUAAUAAAUAAAUAAAUAUAGGAAAUAUAAGAUAAUAUCAUACGUGUCAUAACAAUAUUUAAAUAACAAACUUACACAGAAACGCAAGUCCAUAUAGUGUUUUGUAAUCUUUCGUUUUACAAUAGACAACCUCUUUGGUUCAUUAUGGGCAAGAAUUCGAACAGCUAUGCUAAAACAAUCUAUAGGCAUAUCUUUAUUCACAUUUAACAAUUCAUAUAGUGUCUUGACAGUCAAAUCUAUCUAGUAUGGUUUGAAGCUUCGGACCCAUUUAGCCCUGAAGCUUCGGACCCAUUUAGCCCUGUAUAGCAACUUUAUAUAACAAAUAUUCAAUUAUAUCUGAACAAUACACUUAACUUGACUAUUAAAUAAUAAAAUAUGAGGAACUUACUCUAAAACUGUGCCAUCUUGAAUUGCCAUGAUAUAAUCGCAUAGAAACUAUAUCAUAUCAGCUUUUGUCACAGAAAUAUCCUUAGUGGAAAGACCACUCAUUAAAGAGCCAUUGCCACACCCAUCAACAGAGGUUGGAGUAGGGGUGACAUCAUUCUCUUCUUUGGCACAUAUUUCUUCAAAAUAUAAUAAUAUAGGAUCAUCUUCAAGGCUAAUCUGAGGGCUUCAUUUCCUCUUGUAGGAUUUGAUGACGGUUCUAAACCUCAACAUCACUGGAGUCAGUCUCAUUGUCUUCUGUACUUUUGUUUGUAUUAUUUUUAUAUAACGGACAUCCCUUUCUCUUGUUCAAAUCUGAAGACAAUAAAAUAGCGGCCAAUUUUGGCCUAAAGUUUUUUAUAUCGUCCUGCAAAGUAAGAAAAUACAUGGUGUUAUUUUUCAUAUCACUGUAGAUAUGUAUAUGAUAACUUUUUUCUAAUAUACCUGUGUAAAAUUGUCUGAUAGUUCGACUCCUGUCAAGUACUCCAUAUAAUUAAGUAGGAAAAGUCCACAUGAAGAACUACAUUAAAAAAUCAAAUCAAAUAUGUUUCCAAUUUAAAUGAAACAUUUUUAAAAAGAUCGAAUAUAUAUAUAUGUCUGCUUGGCAUCUUUAAACUCUAUAAGUUUCCAAUGCCAAGAGACAACUUGAAGGACUAGCCAAUUAUGGUCUUUAAGUUUUAUGCAAUGCGAUACACCAUCUAUUUGCUUUUGCAAACCCUUUAGCUACAAAACUAAAUUAGUAAAUCACAUCAACAAAUUACUCAUAACCACAAACAAAAUUAGUAACGAGUUUUAUUUACUCACAACACAAUCGAGAUCUUUAUGACCCAAUGAAGAACCCAAUGAAUCAAGUAUUUGUAUCUCUCGUCUUUUGGCGUUAAGCACAACAAGAUACCAGUGAAGUUCACAAAUGUUUAUAGGUAUGAACACCUACAAAAUACUUAUAUAUAUUAUGUUUCAUAAAUAUCAUACGAUGAUUUUAUAACUAAACUCAUAUAUAGUAAAUUAUUUUGUUACCAUGUCAUGUUGAAGAUAUAAUAAUACCCUUCGCUCAACUUGAGAUCUUUCGCUAGUUUCACAGUAUAUAUCAUCAAAUUCUCGAUCAUCAUCAGCAUCUUGUUUAAAAAAUUCACCGACAAAUGUAAUCUCUAAGUGGACUGUACCACAUGGAUGCUGCUUCAUAUGUUCUUGUGCUAUCAAUAAGUAUAUGUAAGAAUUUAUGACCUGCAAAUACAUGUACAAAAACUAUAUUUAGUUAAAAUACAUAAAUUUGUCUGUGCCCGCGUACCAAAAAAUAUAUUACCUCAUCCCCAAAAUAAGAAUCUGAUUGAAAUAUACGUUCCAUAAAUUUCCUGAGAGCCAACGCAUACAAGUUCUACAUCCAUUGUCGCAUAAGGAAUGUUUUUAAUUGUUUCGAUAAGGGCCAGAUCACCUUGAUUACACAUAUAAUCUAGAAAUCAAUCAUACAUAGAAUGGUCGAAUUUUAUUAGUUUAAAACAUACGAACUGAUCAAAUAGUAAUAGUAGAGAUAACUAAUACACAAUUGUAAUACCUUCUUGAACAAUUACACUUGAUAUGUCCUUUUUUGGUUUAUUGUGCUGCAAUGCAAAUUUGCAUUCAUCUAUUAGCGCUAGAUAAUUUAUCUUUGUUCCAGAUAUAUCUUCUUCAUUGGGAUGUAUAGGAAGUCUAGUAUGCUCAUCUAUUUUUGCAUCGAGAGGUGAUUCAUUAUCAACUUUUGAAUGCUUGUCCAAUUAGCUAUUAUCAACGAGUACUUCAUUUGUCUCGUCUGAAGAAUCCAUCAAGAUAAAACAGUCCUACAUAUAUUGUGAAUAAAAUAAUCUAAAUAUACUGAUCCGCUGGCACAACUGAGAUAGAAGGAAAUAUGUUCCUGUGAGCAGUGGCGGAUGACGCACAAAAAUUAAGGUAUGCCAGAUUUUAUAUAGAACUAUAUGUACAAAUCCAUAUACGUGUGUGUAUACAUACAUUUUAGUUGACAACAAACAAUUUAAUAUAAAGCAAUAACUUAAAGUAUUUUACAGCAAACAAAUAUAAAAUAAGGACAAAGCUUCUCAAAUAAACGUAUUCAAUCACACGAUUUAGUUGAAUUGAAUGUGUGGAACCCAUCAAAUAAAUGUUUUUAACGUUUUCUCGGCAUUGGUAUUCACACAUCUUCAUUGAAUCGAACAGGCAGAGUCCCUCAAAACCUUUUCACUCACAUAAUUCAGUUUAAUGCUUUCUGAAAUGAUAUGCUACUUACUCUUGUUACUCACGUAGUAGUAGAUGAGGGACUCACGCGGUAGUAGAUGAGGGAUCACAGAAACUACCAAACCGGGGAAGGGAAAGAUAAGCUAGUAGAUAAAUGUGUUGUCGUGCCCUGUACUUUUUAGCUGCCAACAACGUCUUUCUCCUCCCCUGUAGCCCCAGAGGCAUACGCACGCAACGCAGAGUCAAGCAGUGGGCGCAAACGUGAGUGGCGGUCCUACAGAGGGUGGAGCGGGCGAGCGGCGGCCUGCGGAGAAGCGAGACAGCGGGGAACUCACAGAGAAGCUACUGCUAUGGCUUCUUAGCCUCACGCGCAAACUGCGACCGACAGCGAAGCGGAGAAGAUGAAUGCUUUGGCCAGCGCGAACCAAGGCCAUGGGCCAGAACAAGUAUGGCGUGCGCCAUAUCUAUCCGCGUUCGUCCGAUCAGGGCGGGUAGUUACUCACGAUAUGCAUGCAUGUGAUUGAGGUGAUUUGGUUAGCAUCUCCAAAAGGCUGUUAAUCUGACCGCUAAUAUGUUUUUUAGGAAGGGAAACAUAAAAACUAAGCUCCAACAGAUACCAUAAAUCUGCCCCAAAUUUUCAGCGACGCUAAUCCUUCGCGACGGGUUGCGCAUAUCUUCGCGAUCAUGAUGCGCCCUCAAUCUCCCCUUGCAUCUUCUCCUGCGCGCCAGCAAACUAUUCUCGCGUGUUUCCCUUUGCCACAAGCCUCUCCCCCAGUCGGAGGUCCUCUGUGUGGUGGUCGCGGCUUGAGGUUGCGGUGGCGACAGUCUGAUGAAUUUGAGAUGCAGCCACCGAGGUCAGUUGGCCCGGGCCAGUAGGGGCAAGGAUGACGCGACUAUGAGCAGAUGUAUCGUGUCUAGUCCGUCGGUGUCCAGCACACCCAAUGGAUCAGCAGCGACGAGCAGAUGCAUCCUGUCAUGGUCUCAUGGAAGGUCAGGUACCAGACCAUCCUCAUCUGGCUACCCUUGGUGACGAGCAUUCAGAUCCCCUUUGGCAGUCCCGUUCCCUUGCAGCGACGACCUGUCAGCAACCUUCGAACACGCGAACACCGGCAACUCAUUUGUCAAUGGUAUGAAUUUUGGAUUCUUUGUUUUGAUGAAAUGAUAUGGAUAAUUUACUACCUUGCCCGCCUAGCUUACACAUCAGGUCUUUUUUCAAUAACCUUGCAGGGUCUAUAAGUUUGUACUUAAGUUUUGUCCAUUUAGAAAUUCUCAGCUUGUUAAACAUUCUUAGAUUUAAAUUUCGGGUGUGCUCAGAAUGGCUCAUAAAUGGUGUUUGUUUUGUGUAGACAAUAGACAUAUUUGUAGUGUUGCAAAUGCAGAAGUGAGGUUGUCUCUGCAGGUGCGAAGGUCCUGUUGUCCUCUUGUCAGCCACAUAUUGUGCUAGUGAUUUUAUAUUGUACACCGUCAUUGAAAAAUGGCUCACCAUUUAUUUGCCAUGGUCACACUUAUAGCUAGCUGGUUUGCUUCUGGAAGUAAUGUGGCACCUUCAUCCAUAAAUGAACAGAACUGCAAUUAUUACAUUAUUUUGGCUGAAUUAAAGUUAACAAGUAGCCCAGUACGUGAUGAAACAUAUGUUGCAUGUUAGCUAGUAUCGACAGAUCCUGCAUGUUCAACUGUUCUAGCGCACAACAUAACAUGAAAAUCACGUACGUGAAUAUGGGCCAAGCCCUUCCGUCAAGUAGACUACUUCAUACUCUAGAAAUUUAUUAGUUGGCCUAGUUUUCAUUUAAGUGUUCUAUUCUGUGAACUGAUGGAGUAAAAUUAUAAUCUACAACUAAUAAAUUUUUGCCUGCUGCUAAUUAUCACAUUUUAGGGAAACAUUUUAAGCAUACUCUUGGAGAUGCUCACUGUAACCUAUUCCUGUUGUUAACCUAUUCUCUCGCGCGACUCACGAGCUAAAAGACAGCCACCAUGUUGCAAGGUUAUCCUCCUCCUGGUGAUCCCACGUCGCGUCGUGCCGCUCCAUGGCGUCAUUCACUUCUUCACAUGCUUUCUUGAACGGUUGUGGCCACGGUGCAUCUGGCGCUCGCAGUACUUGGAGACUAGGAUGGCCUCAUUGGAGCACCGCCACUUCUUGUCGUCCGUACGCCGACAUCGCUCGAGCUCCGGGUACACUGUCUUGCCGAAGUAGGGCUCAUACCCAACUGUAAGGCAAUUUCAAUCUUAUCAAGAAAGUGAUAUGAGUACUUCAAAGUUCAAACUGUAGAAUUGUAGUUUUAUGAUCCAAUUUUGUUCGUUACUAUGUGCAAUUUAGAACAACUAUGAAAUACGAUGAUUUUGUGUCCAAAGAUUUUGUUUGACCAUCUUCCCAUCCAAUGGAAAUAGAUGCUAACAGCACGAAAUCGAGUCAACUUAGUUGUAAAGUCAAGUAGUGAUGGAACAUGUAUUUUAGAAGUAAGAAAAGUAAAAUGUAUUUAGCAAAGCAAAUCACCAGUCAUGAAUUCACUCAGAUGUGGAUUAAAAAACGAUUCCCCAAACUUAAGUGUUCCACUUGUAUAUUAAAAAAAUGCUUCCACUUGUAGGUUAAAAAUGCAUGAAGUUCCUAAGCUACCUAAUAAGAAAAUUGGGACAAGAAACAUGAUUCCUGAAAGUACAAUAUGCUAAUUACAUUCAGAUACCUUCAAUUGAAGGAUAUAGAUAUUAACUGAACUAUAGUAACAUAAUUUUGAAAAUGGAGAAUGGUCAACUCACACAAGGGCUAUAAAAGACGCAAUGAUCAGAACAUAUGGUAACAGGGAGACACAUUCAUGUAUGUUGAUCACCUGGGAGUAAGGAUUGUUUGACACCCAACCAUGGCCAUAACAUGUUGGUACUGCCAUUCACAAUGAUAAGAAUCAUUCCCCAUUUACAGAGUUUGUGUUUUCCAACCUAUAAACGACAUAACUCAAGAGCCAAGCCUAACCCAAGUAGACCUAUGACCUAUGGUUUGAUAGUGUCAUUUUAGUUAAAUACAUAGCACUAUUUCCCAAGUUUCUGAAAAGGAGAUUAGUAGAUUAGUGGUUUACUGAUCUUCCCAUUUCUCUCAACCCGUGAAUACCUUAGCAUUAGCGACACAUCAGUUAGUGAGGAUGUAAAUGAAUUAAAGAAGAAUAAAUCCAACCUCAAGUAUCCUAACAGCAAGGCAAACACAAUGAUCGUCUUCGCCAAAAGCAGGAGCACAAUGGACAACACCCGUUUUCGACCAUCAUCCGUGACAUAGUUAUCUGCAAUCACUCUAAAGGCACUCUCUUGAAGUUCAAUGAAAAAAUCAAAUAGAGGAGUACAUCUGUAACCAAAAAAAGGUAACAGCCCUAAGCAAUAAAGAACCAAAAAGCUCUAGGUACAUACUUCAGUAAUUCUUUGCUAUCACAUGAAUUUAAUAUUCUCAUAUACUCAAAUUAUUUACCACUAUCAACAAGCACAUUCUUGUCAUAUACUCAUAUUAUUUACUUGUUAGCAAUGCGUUAAACACUAACAAAUAUUGAAAUAGUAUUCAAAAUUUUCACUAUAUAUUACCUUGAUGUGUGAUGUAGGACCUUUUACAAAUGUUAAUCAGUUGAAUACCGUCGAAAUGUCGUUCUGAAAUCAAUAAACAGAGAGGUUUGCUAUUGAAAAUACAUAUAUGAGCUAGAGAAAUAGUAGAUCUCACACACAUGAAGUUAUCAAGCAACAAUACCUAUUGAUGUAUGCAUUCACGAUUUACGGAAUAUCAGUAUAACCUUGUGUGGUGAUGUAACCCGCAACCAAAUCAAGAGGAGGCUCCAGAUGAAGUUAAAAGAAGAUACAUGUACAUACCUUGCCAAAUGAAAUGGGGAUCUUCUACUUGCUUUCUGGUGAAGUUCUGUGAUUCUGUCAACAUGUAGUCCUCUCCUUUCUUACCUAAUGACACAAACACUUCUCAGUUUCAGGGUGAUGCACCAAGGCAGCAGAAAUAUCCAUAUUUGAUCGAAACUCCAUGGUCUAGCUUUUAUUGUAACAAUUCAUGUUUGUUUCUAUAAGCAACAAUGAUUUUCCUAAUGACAAAAAAAUCACAUCCAGAAUCAAGAAAAGCAUCUCAGAUGAAAAUACCCUAAAAAUCAUCCAUCUAUUUUAACACAGUUUCAGCUGAUCCAAUGGCUAAUUAAAUUUCAUAACACUUCGUCCAAAAUAAUGACAUAUCAAAAGCAGUGGUCGAAGGAAAGAACCAGCUAAAG
rnacentral:lncRNA from 1 species